rnacentral:sRNA from 1 species
UCUGGCAGAAGGAGCCCUACCGAGGCGAUC